rnacentral:piRNA from 1 species
AGGGGCUAAACUGGCUCACAUUGCAGCUGC